CCUACGGGUGGCAGCAGUGAGGAAUAUUGGUCAAUGGGCGCGAGCCUGAACCAGCCAAGUAGCGUGAAGGAUGACUGCCCUACGGGUUGUAAACUUCUUUUAUAAAGGAAUAAAGUGAGGCACGUGUGCCUUUUUGUAUGUACUUUAUGAAUAAGGAUCGGUUAACUCCGUGCCAUCAGCCGCGGUAAUACGGAGGAUCCGAGCGUUAUCCGGAUUUAUUGGGUUUAAAGGGAGCGUAGAUGGGUUGUUAAGUCAGUUGUGAAAGUUUGCGGCUCAACCGUAAAAUUGCAAUUGAUACUGGCAGUCUUGAGUACAGUUGAGGUAGGCGGAAUUCGUGGUGUAGCGGUGAAAUGCUUAGAUAUCACGAAGAACUCCGAUUGCGAAGGCAGCUUACUAAACUGCCACUGACAUUGAUGCUCGAAAGUGUGGGUAUCAAACAGGAUUAGAUACCCCAGUAGUC
rnacentral:rRNA from 1 species